rnacentral:rRNA from 1 species
CAGCAGCCGCGGUAAUACGUAGGGUGCGAGCGUUAAUCUGAUUUACUGGGCGUAAAGCGUGCGCAGGCGGCCCGUUAAGACAGGUGUGAAAUCCCUGGGCUCAACCUAGGAAUUGCGCUUGUGACUGGCGGGCUCGAGUACGGUAGAGGGGGGUGGAAUUCCUGGUGUAGCAGUGAAAUGCGUAGAGAUCAGGAGGAACACCGAUGGCGAAGGCAGCCCCCGGGGCCUGUACUGACGCUCAUGCACGAAAGCGUGGGGAGCAAAAAGGAUUAGAUACCCUGGUAGUCCACGCCCUAAACGAUGGGUACUAGCCGUUUGGUGCGCGAUAGCGCUGAGUGGCGAAGCUAACGCGUGAAGUACCCCGCCUGGGGAGUACGGCCGCAAGGUUGAAACUUAAAGGAAUUGGCGGG